AACUAAGUUUGUUCUGGGUAUAAGCUUUUGUGUGCAUGCACACUUCUUCAUCUGAUGUGUGUAUCUGAAGAAGUGUGCAUGCACAUGAAAGCUUAUACCCAGAACAAACUUAGUCGG